rnacentral:lncRNA from 1 species
UUCACGUCAAUCGCUGGCAGAAAAUAGCCGCCGAGCGAUUAAUGCGAUGUAACAACACAGAGGGACGGCAAAUACGGACCGCUACCAGAGAGACGCCGCGCUAGCGCUUGAUAAACACAGGAAAGAGCAGAGUUUAAGUGAACAACAUGACUGGAGAAGUCUGGCAUGCAUCAUCAGAGAAAAGUCUGUCGUAAGUAAAAUAUGAAAUGAAAAAUGCAUGAAUGAACUGUUUACAACAAGAUCAAUAACAUGUUUUUAGAAAAUAGAUGAAAUUCUGUGAAUUUUUUGUUUGAAAAUCAAACUGAAGUGAUCCAUUUAU